rnacentral:snoRNA from 1 species
UACUUCAUUGAAAUGUUCCUUCACUAGUGGACCAGAGCAUUCUAGAAACCCUGGCAGGGUCGUGUGAGGACUUUUUUAUUUUAGGUUUGUGCCCACAGCACUUCUGAACAUGC